AAAAGAAAAAAAACUCGCUCCACACAAGAACGAAUCAAGGGCGGUUGAGAGGAUGCGACGAGCGGUCGAACGAGAGCGGAUGCGGCGGCCGCUCGAUUCAGGCAAAGCAGGCGACCUACGGUGGGAUCGUGCCGACGCGCGAGCGAAUCCAGCCUACGAUUCACUCACGAGCGAAUCUAGCGUGAGGGGAUCAAGCAGAAACGCCUGAUGCGGGUGAACCGAGGACCGGUCGAUCCAGCCGUCGGCCGAUCCGCCUGCAAGUUUUGAAUCAGGCAUUCAUGUCUCGGGGCGACCUCUCGUUUGCACACUUCAGUUUCCAACUGAUGCGUGUAUAUAUGCUUCCUCCCCGGCCACUCUUCGCUCACCCUCUCUACUCCAGCAGCACAAAAUAUUCAAGAUCAUGUUAGGGUAGAUCUCCCUGUGUUCUUCCUUAUGCGUAUGUGUUGUGGAGAUUGCUGCCCCAAGCUUUUAACCCUGUUACCAAGGUUCACAUGGAUUUAAGUGUUUUUUCCUCACUUUGAACAAGCUGAAAACAUCAAGUUCACCUUCGAGCAGAAGAUGAUGUGUUUUGGCUUGAGAAAAAAUUGGCGUGGCAGACGAUAUAACUCCAAUCAAGACUGAACCUCAAAUGUCUGCUUACGAACAGAUGUAGGAGCAUUUGACAUUUAUUCACCUUGGAGCAGAAGAUGGUGUUUUUGGCUUGAGAAAAAAAUUGAGGUGGCUGACGAUAUAACUCCAAUCAAGGCUGAACUUAAAUGAUCUCCUUAAGAACAGAUAGAGCAGCAUUUGACAUUUCUUAAAGCUUAACCUUUUACUGGUGGUGUGGCAGGGGGCUAGAUCAAAAUUUUGUUGACGUAUAGUUGUUACUUUUCAAAGGUCUCUUGUAUUUGUGUGCUUGAUUUGGCAGUACGGCCUGUAAAAAAGACAUGUGCAAUGUUUGAUAAUGUGUUUUGGAGCCUCUCACUUCGUAAGCAAACUAAUUGCAGGUAUUUAUUUUUCAUAAA